rnacentral:rRNA from 1 species
GACGAACGCUGGCGGCGUGCCUAAUACAUGCAAGUAGAACGCUGAAGAGAGGAGCUUGCUCUUCUUGGAUGAGUUGCGAACGGGUGAGUAACGCGUAGGUAACCUGCCUUGUAGCGGGGGAUAACUAUUGGAAACGAUAGCUAAUACCGCAUAACAAUGGAUGACACAUGUCAUUUAUUUGAAAGGGGCAAUUGCUCCACUACAAGAUGGACCUGCGUUGUAUUAGCUAGUAGGUGAGGUAACGGCUCACCUAGGCGACGAUACAUAGCCGACCUGAGAGGGUGGAUCGGCCACACUGGGACUGAGACACGGCCCAGACUCCUACGGGAGGCAGCAGUAGGGAAUCUUCGGCAAUGGGGGCAACCCUGACCGAGCAACGCCGCGUGAGUGAAGAAGGUUUUCGGAUCGUAAAGCUCUGUUGUAAGUCAAGAACGAGUGUGAGAGUGGAAAGUUCACACUGUGACGGUAGCUUACCAGAAA